AGAAGCUUAACCUACUGAGCCACCCAGGCGCCUCUAAUAAUUGCUAUAAGAAUCUGGUUCACUUAUGUAUGCCCUGGAGAAGAAACUUAUGGGCCUCUUACUUGGGAUAACAUUUCAUGUGAUUUUUUGAAUUUUAUUUGAAAAUUUCUAGCUGUAAACAGACCCCAGGGUACAGUAAAGUUAAUAAAUCGUUAAAUACUGUUUUCACCUAAUAAGGUUUCACUAUGCCAGAUGUUCCUGUUCCUUCUCUUGGUUUUGUAAGAAGCAAUGAAAAUGAAAUACUGUCCUUGGAACUAUGUGUUGAUCUCUUCCUCUUUUGAAUUUAUUUUGUGAUAUAUUAAUUUUAUAUAGUUUACAGGCUGUGCAUUUGGAUCAGCUGCUAUUUGGCAGUAUGAAUCACUGAAAUCCAGGGUCCAGAGUUAUUUUGAUGGUAUAAAAGCUGAUUGGCUGGAUAGCAUAAGACCACAAAAGGAAGGAGACUUCAGAAAGGAGAUUAACAAGUGGUGGAAUAACCUAAGUGAUGGCCAGCGGACUGUGACAGGUUUGUGUUAGCUUACACGUUUUAGCCAUUCAAGGGAAGAGAAAUCAAACCAAAAGGGUUGCUUACCGGGUAGUUAUCUCCCUUUUUACCAAUAAGGAAACUGGCUUUCAGAGAAGGAACUUUUCAAAGGUCACACUGCUAGUAAGUAGUAGAGCUAAGUUUCAAAACCCAGGUCUGUCUCAUUCUAAAGCUAAUUUUCUCUUUCCUGC